GAUGAAGAACGUAGCGAAAUGCGAUACUUGGUGUGAAUUGCAGAAUCCCGUGAACCAUCGAGUCUUUGAACGCAAGUUGCGCCCGAAGCCAUCAGGUUGAGGGCACGUCUGCCUGGGCGUCACAUAUCGUUGCUCGAUGCCUAUCGCAUUGCGAUAGGACUUAGGGCGAAUGAUGGCUUCCCGUGAGCGUUGUUGCCUCGCGGUUGGUUGAAAAUCGAGUCCUUGGUAGGAAGCGCCGUGAUAGAUGGUGGUUGAGUGACGAACGAGACCCAAUCAUGUGAGACCCCUACCGAAUUUGGCCUUCAUGACCCACAUGCGUCUUUGGAACGCUCAUGACGAGACCUCAGGUCAGGCGGGGCUACCCGCUGAGUUUAAGCAUAUCAAUAAGCGGAGGA
rnacentral:misc_RNA from 1 species